rnacentral:lncRNA from 1 species
GGUCCAUCUUACAAGGCAGGGAAUGUUGAGGUCCAUCUUACAAGGCAGGGAAUGUUGAGGUCCAUCUUACAAGGCAGGGAAUGUUGAGGUCCAUCUUACAAGGCAGGGAAUGUUGAGGUCCAUCUUACCAAGGCAGGGAAUGUUGAGGUCUAUCUUACCAUGGCAGGGAAUGUUGAGGUCCAUCUUACAAGGCAGGGAAUGUUGAGGUCUAUCUUACAAGGCAGGUAAUGUUGAGGUCCAUCUUAC